UACAGAGGGUGCAAGCGUUAAUCGGAAUUACUGGGCGUAAAGCGCGCGUAGGUGGUUGAUUAAGUCAGAUGUAAAAGCCCCGGGCUCAACCUGGGAACUGCAUUUGAGACUGGUCGUCUAGAGUACAGAAGAGGGGGGUGGAAUUCCAGGUGUAGCGGUGAAAUGCGUAGAGAUCAGGAGGAACAUCAGUGGCGAAGGCGACCCCCUGGGCUGAUACUGACGCUGAGGUGCGAAAGCGUGGGUAGCGAACAGG
rnacentral:misc_RNA from 1 species